rnacentral:rRNA from 2 species
CGUAGGUGACCUGCGGAAGGAUCAUU